rnacentral:rRNA from 2 species
UACGUAGGGGGCAAGCGUUGUCCGGAAUUAUUGGGCGUAAAGCGCGCGCAGGCGGUUUUGUAAGUCAGGUGUUUAAGCUCGGGGCUCAACCCCGAUUCGCAUCUGAAACUGCAAGACUUGAGUGCAGAAGAGGAAAGUGGAAUUCCACGUGUAGCGGUGAAAUGCGUAGAGAUGUGGAGGAACACCAGUGGCGAAGGCGACUUUCUGGGCUGUAACUGACGCUGAGGCGCGAAAGCGUGGGGAGCAAACAGG